UACGGAGGGUGCGAGCGUUGUCCGGAAUCAUUGGGCGUAAAGAGCUCGUAGGCGGUUUGUUGCGUCGGCUGUGAAAUCCCGAGGCUCAACCUCGGGUCUGCAGUCGAUACGAGCAAACUAGAGUGUUGCAGGGGAGGCUGGAAUUCCUGGUGUAGCGGUGAAAUGCGCAGAUAUCAGGAGGAACACCGGUGGCGAAGGCGGGUCUCUGGGCAACACUGACGCUGGAGGAGCGAAAGCGUGGGGAGCGAACAGG
rnacentral:rRNA from 1 species